AUUGAACGCUGGCGGCAGGCCUAACACAUGCAAGUCGAACGAGUGGCGGACGGGUGAGUAAUGUCUGGGAAACUGCCUGAUGGAGGGGGAUAACUACUGGAAACGGUAGCUAAUACCGCAUACCAUCGGAUGUGCCCCGGUUGGAUUAGCUAGUAGGUGGGGUAAAGGCUCAUCUAGGCGACGAUCCCUAGCUGGUCUGAGAGGAUGACCGGCCACAAUGGAACGGAGACACGGUCCAGACGCCUACGGGAGGAAGCAGUGGGGAAUAUUGGACAAUGGGCGAAAGCCUGAUGCAGAAAGGCCGCGUGUAUGAAGAAGGCCUUCGGGGUGUAAAGUACUGUCAGCGGGGAGGCGUUACCCGCAGAAGAAGCACCGGCUAACUCCGUGCCAGCAGCCGCGGUAAUAC
rnacentral:rRNA from 1 species